rnacentral:piRNA from 1 species
UGGAAGUCUCUUUUCUCCUCCAGUGUGU